rnacentral:rRNA from 1 species
UACGGAGGGUGCGAGCGUUGUUCGGAAUCACUGGGCUUAAAGGGCGCGUAGGCGGCUUGCCAAGUCAGGGGUGAAAUCCUGCAGCUCAACUGUAGAAGUGCCUUUGAUACUGGCGAGCUCGAGGGAGGUAGGGGUGGGUGGAACUUCUGGUGGAGCGGUGAAAUGCGCAGAUAUCAGGAGGAACACCGAUGGCGAAGGCAGGUCUCUGGGCCACUACUGACGCUGAGAAGCGAAAGCAUGGGGAGCGAACAGG